rnacentral:rRNA from 1 species
UAGGGAAUCUUCGGCAAUGGACGAAAGUCUGACCGAGCAACGCCGCGUGAGUGAAGAAGGUUUUCGGAUCGUAAAACUCUGUUGUUAGAGAAGAACAAGGACGUUAGUAACUGAACGUCCCCUGACGGUAUCUAACCAGAAAGCCACGGCUAACUACGUGCCAGCAGCCGCGGUAAUACGUAGGUGGCAAGCGUUGUCCGGAUUUAUUGGGCGUAAAGCGAGCGCAGGCGGUUUCUUAAGUCUGAUGUGAAAGCCCCCGGCUCAACCGGGGAGGGACGUUGGAAACUGGGAGACUUGAGUGCAGAAGAGGAGGGUGGAAUUCCAUGUGUAGCGGUGAAAUGCGUAGAUAUAUGGAGGAACACCAGUGGCGAAGGCGGCUCUCUGGUCUGUAACUGACGCUGAGGCUCGAAAGCGUGGGGAGCAAACAGG